AUGUUCGGGCACAAGAAGCACAACCAGCCUCCGCCGCCGCCGCCGGCCGGUGCCGGCUACCCGACCGCGUCGCCGCCGAUGAUGCCGCAGCAGGAGCCGACGUUCAAGAUCUUCUGCCGCGCCGACGAGGCCUACUGCCUCACCAUCCGCCACGACGCCGUCGUCCUCGCCCCGACGAACCCCCGCGACGAGCACCAGCACUGGUACAAGGACAUGAGGCACAGCACGCGGGUGAGCGACGUGGAGGGCCACCCGGCGUUCGCGCUGGUGAACAAGGCCACCGGGCUCGCCGUCAAGCACUCGCUCGGCCAGUCCCACCCCGUCAAGCUCAUCCCCUACAACCCGGACUACCUGGACGAGUCGGUGCUGUGGACGGAGAGCAACGACGUGGGCAAGGGCUUCCGCUGCAUCCGCAUGGUCAACAACCUCAACCUCAGCUUCGACGCCCUCCACGGCGACAAGGACCACGGCGGCGUGCACGACGGCACCGGCGUCGUGCUCUGGGAGUUCUUGAAGGGGGAGAACCAGAGCUGGAAGAUUCUUCCCUGGGGCGCUGACGGCGGGUACGGGUACGGGUACGGCGGCGGCUCGUCCGGCGGCCAGGAUCCCUACGCGCCUCCGCCUGCGUACGGAGGAGGGUACCGCCCCCCGCCGGCCGGCGCGGAGGCCUACCCGCCGCCGCAUGCCCACGGCGCAGAGGCGUACGCGCCGCUGGGCGCAGGGUAUGGGUACGGCAACCUGCACCGCGCGCUGGCGUCUGAGUCCACCGUGCGCGUCCUGUGCGCGGCCGGCCAGGACUACAGCCUCACCGUGAGGAACGGCACCGUGUGCCUCGCGCCCACCAACCCCAGAGACGAGUUCCAGCACUGGGUGAAGGACAUGAGGUACAGCACCAAGAUCAAGGACGAGGAGGGCUACCCUGCGUUCGCCCUGGUGAACAAGAUCACCGGCGAAGCCAUCAAGCACUCCCUCGGACAGAGCCACCCUGUGAAGCUUGUGGGUUACAACCCGGAGUACAUGGACGAGUCGGUGCUGUGGACGGAGAGCCGCGACGUGGGCAAGGGCUUCCGCUGCGUGCGCAUGGUGAACAACAUCUACCUCAACUUCGACGCGCUCCACGGCGACAAGGACCACGGCGGCGUCCACGACGGCACCGAGGUCGUGCUCUGGGAGUGGUGCAAGGGCGACAACCAGCGCUGGAAGAUCGUCCCCUGGUAG
rnacentral:rRNA from 1 species